ACACAUGCAAGUCGAGGGUCAGCACAGGUAGCUAUACCGGGUGGCGACCGGCGCACGGGUGAGUAACGCGUAUGCAACUUACCUAUCAGAGGGGGAUAACCCGGCGAAAGUCGGACUAAUACCGCAUGAAGCAGGGGCCCCGCAUGGGGAUAUUUGCUAAAGAUUCAUCGCUGAUAGAUAGGCAUGCGUUCCAUUAGGCAGUUGGCGGGGUAACGGCCCACCAAACCGACGAUGGAUAGGGGUUCUGAGAGGAAGGUCCCCCACAUUGGUACUGAGACACGGACCAAACUCCUACGGGAGGCAGCAGUGAGGAAUAUUGGUCAAUGGCCGAGAGGCUGAACCAGCCAAGUCGCGUGAGGGAUGAAGGUUCUAUGGAUCGUAAACCUCUUUUAUAAGGGAAUAAAGUGCGGGACGUGUCCCGUUUUGUAUGUACCUUAUGAAUAAGGAUCGGCUAACUCCGUGCCAGCAGCCGCGGUAAUACGGAGGAUCCGAGCGUUAUCCGGAUUUAUUGGGUUUAAAGGGUGCGUAGGCGGCCUUUUAAGUCAGCGGUGAAAGUCUGUGGCUCAACCAUAGAAUUGCCGUUGAAACUGGGGGGCUUGAGUAUGUUUGAGGCAGGCGGAAUGCGUGGUGUAGCGGUGAAAUGCAUAGAUAUCACGCAGAACCCCGAUUGCGAAGGCAGCCUGCCAAGCCAUUACUGACGCUGAUGCACGAAAGCGUGGGGAUCAAACAGGAUUAGAUACCCUGGUAGUCCACGCAGUAAACGAUGAUCACUAGCUGUUUGCGAUACACUGUAAGCGGCACAGCGAAAGCGUUAAGUGAUCCACCUGGGGAGUACGCCGGCAACGGUGAAACUCAAAGGAAUUGACGGGGGCCCGCACAAGCGGAGGAACAUGUGGUUUAAUUCGAUGAUACGCGAGGAACCUUACCCGGGUUUGAACGCAUUCGGACCGAGGUGGAAACACCUUUUCUAGCAAUAGCCGUUUGCGAGGUGCUGCAUGGUUGUCGUCAGCUCGUGCCGUGAGGUGUCGGCUUAAGUGCCAUAACGAGCGCAACCCUUGCCACUAGUUACUAACAGGUAAAGCUGAGGACUCUGGUGGGACUGCCAGCGUAAGCUGCGAGGAAGGCGGGGAUGACGUCAAAUCAGCACGGCCCUUACAUCCGGGGCGACACACGUGUUACAAUGGCGUGGACAAAGGGAAGCCACCUGGCGACAGGGAGCGAAUCCCCAAACCACGUCUCAGUUCGGAUCGGAGUCUGCAACCCGACUCCGUGAAGCUGGAUUCGCUAGUAAUCGCGCAUCAGCCAUGGCGCGGUGAAUACGUUCCCGGGCCUUGUACACACCGCCCGUCAAGCCAUGGGAGCCGGGGGUACCUGAAGUCCGUAACCGCGAGGAUCGGCCUAGGGUAAAACUGGUGACUGGGGC
rnacentral:rRNA from 1 species